GUAAUUUAGGUUCAUGGUACAGAGGCUGGCAAGUCCAAGACCUGGCAGCUACAUCUAGUGAGGGCCUUGUGCUGCUUCAUAAGGUAGCGGAAGUUGGGAAGGAGAAGGCUCCCUGGGAGAGGAGAAGGCGUAGUAGCUAAGCCUGCCAUUCAUGGGCAGCCCCAAUCACCUCCUGCUAGGCCCUGCCUCCCCCACAUUAAGAAAGGGAGGUUCCAACAGAUGGACUUGGGGGACAUGCAGAAACCACAGCACGCAGGUGAGGAAGCUAUUGAGUGUGAGGAAGGCUCCUACCACCUGUCCUCCUAGACCAGCAGGGAACCUGUGGCAGAAGAGAGGCCUCGGCCGGCCAGAGACCUGAGUUGCGUGGGCCCUUCUCUGGAAUAAGCCAGGGCCUUGCCUUCUUCCCUCCACAGGUCUCUGAUUCCUUAGGGAGGCAACCUCAGGUCUCAGCAAAGACUCCCCCCUUCUGCCCCUGUCCUGGACUGCUGACAGGGAGACUGAGCAGCUGAGUGUCCACCCCCUAGAAGAGCCUCUUGUACCUCCACAGUAGAGUCUUUCUAUCUGGUCUGGUAACCCUCCCACCAGCCCCCAUGCCCCAUCCCCACUGCCUCCCCUACCCCAGCCAUGGGGCCUUGUAGCCAGUGCUUGGAACUAGAGUUUGAUCUGGAACUGGUUACUUCUGGAAAGAACAACAAUGUGGGAAAACCAUCCACCCGCCUCCCAGAGUCCAGCAGAAUGAACAAAGGGUGGAGGCCAAACUGUUCUUCCCCUACCCACCCCCACCCAGGCCUUUCCACUCUGCCUAAAACCGAAGUGGUAGACUUUUCUCUGGUUCCAACAGCAACUUGAAAAACUUGGGGAAACUCAAAAAAUUUAAAAACCAUCAACCUUCGCGUUCUGCCCGAAAGGGCCCCCACUAGCACUGGAUAAAGCAGCUGCAGGUACUCCCUAGGUGCCAUGCUCACGCCAACCUCUUUAUCAGCAGUGUUCCACUUACUGCUCACAGGAGGCCCUUCUGUUAGUCCCAUUGCGGAUGGGUAAAGUGAGAGUGGGCCUGAAAGCUGAGCUGCCUCCCUGAGCCUCUGCCUCCAGCCUGCAGGGAGGUCCUUGGGGAGGUUGCUGACUGAGCAUGAGGGGCCUCGCUGUUCCUCUGUUGGCAGGUGCCUGCAUCAGAAGGGGUUAGGACAGCUGGGAACAGCCCUGCCCCCAUGACCCUCAUGGUUAUGUCUCUGGCCUCUCUCCUCCCCCACCUAGACCCCCUGAGCUUCUCCCACCAGCCCCAGAAGCCCAGCGGGGUUCUUCCAGAAGCCUGCC
rnacentral:lncRNA from 1 species